rnacentral:rRNA from 1 species
UACAGAGGGUGCGAGCGUUAAUCGGAAUUACUGGGCGUAAAGCGUGCGCAGGCGGUUUGUUGUGUCGGUGGUGAAAGCCCCGGGCUUAACCUGGGAAUGGCCAUGGAAACUGGCGAACUGGAGUGUGGCAGAGGGGGGUGGAAUUCCGCGUGUAGCAGUGAAAUGCGUAGAGAUGCGGAGGAACACCGAUGGCGAAGGCGGCGCACUGGACAGCAACUGACACUCAACUGCGAAAGCGUGGGGAGCAAACAGG